GUGUAGCUUUAGUGGUAGAAUGCUUGCCUAUAGUGCACAAGGCCCUUGAUUCAAUCCCCAGUGCUGCACG
rnacentral:tRNA from 1 species